rnacentral:rRNA from 1 species
CGUAGGAGGCAAGCGUUAUCCGGAUUCACUGGGCGUAAAGCGCGUGCAGGUGGCUCGGUAAGUUGGGCGUGAAAUCUCCCGGCUCAACUGGGAGAGGUCGUUCAAUACUACCGAGCUAGAGAGCAGAAGAGGAAGAUGGAAUUCCCGGUGUAGUGGUGAAAUGCGUAGAUAUCGGGAGGAACACCAGUGGCGAAGGCGAUCUUCUGGUCUGUUUCUGACACUCAGACGCGACAGCUAGGGUAGUAAACGGGAUUAGAGACCCCGGUAAUCCUAGCCGUAAACGAUGUGAACUUGGCGUUGGUGGGUUAAACUCCAUCAGUGCCGAAGCAAACGCGAUAAGUUCACCGCCUGGGGACUACGGCCGACAAGGUUA